GCGGGCGUGGUGAAACUGGCAAACACGAGGGACUUAAAAUUCCUUGCCGAUCAACGGCUUGCGGGUUCGACCCCCGCCGCCCGCACCA
rnacentral:tRNA from 1 species